CACUAUAAUGAUAUCCAUAUUCCACAGAGAGUCCAAAGCAAGGCAAAGGAGUUGCCCUCAUGAAACCAAGCUGGAUUCCUAGAAGUCACCGCUGCCUCAGCAUAGCUUAAUGUUUAUCCAGUCAUUGGUUAGAGUUCAUGCCCUUCCAACUGUAGAUAGUGUCUGAGCAGUAGAGGCAUGAAGUGUACCACAGGGACAAUCACAAGAAGAUGUGCUGGAAUCCCUAUGGCCAUAAAAGAAAGAACCUGGAAGUGUGUGGAAAAUGGACUGGAACAAAGAUGAAGCCAGAUGCAGCAGCUGGCUUAGGGUGCCACCGAAGUGAUCACAGUGAGAAUGUGAGAAACAAAGUAAGGGACAACACAGAGGACCCAGGACAGGAACUGGGACAUUUUGCCUGGAUCUGCACCUGAGUGACCUUGUAAAUUUGAAAUGCUGAAGUACACAAAACUAGGAACAGGGAUCGUCCUGUGGGGAUGAGCGGAAGACCCAUCUUUAGCCUCUCCUGCCUCAAAGUGACCCAAGCUUCCCCUUCAAAAGCCUGGAGAAUGCAUUAGAAAACUAAUGGCAUCCCUGAUGGAAUGAAAUGGGUAAAAUAUUCAAACCCUCAUCAUCCUUAUUUUAUCAGGCUACAAAACUCAAUCCUCACAUCAUUCUGUCAUUUGGCAAAUAAACUGCAAUUUUGCAAAGGGUUUCAUUGAUUUCA